UACGGGGGGUGCAAGCGUUGUUCGGAAUUACUGGGCGUAAAGGGCUCGUAGGCGGCCAACUAAGUCGGAUGUGAAAUCCCCAGGCUUAACUUGGGAACUGCAUCCGAUACUGGAUGGCUUGAAUCCGGGAGAGGGAUGCGGAAUUCCAGGUGUAGCGGUGAAAUGCGUAGAUAUCUGGAGGAACACCGGUGGCGAAGGCGACAUCCUGGACCGAUAUUGACGCUGAGGCGCGAAAGCCAGGGGAGCAAACGGG
rnacentral:rRNA from 1 species